AUUCCUGCCCUUCCUCAAGGGAAGUUUCCAGGAGACAAACCAGUGUCACUUGUGUUCCUAACAGCUUAUCCCUGGGUUUUCUGUAGUGGAGAGAAUGUGUCAACCAGCUGCACACUGAGCCCAUCAGUUUCUCAUUAUAUCAGCAAAGGACUUUCUGUUUUCUACAUCAUCUUGUGAAUUUGAUUAGUAAACAUCAGAUUCUGAAGCACUUCAGUAGUGUCAAACUAAGCAAGGGUCUAGUUUUAAAACCUCAAGAUCUUCCAGUUGGACGUAGGGGGAGAGCUACAGAUGCUGAAUGUUUUGGAGAGAGGUCCAAAGAGAUACGUAUCAAGGCAAGAAGACCAAGCCUGAUGCAACAAACAGUGUUAAGUGACUUGCAGAAGAUGUGGAGGGUCAGGGAAGCUGGUCAGCAGGCGUUUGUAUUUGGAGAAGGUGAAGAUGCGUGCUGGACAAGGAGGAGGGGCUUCCCGCAGGCAUGCCUGAGGGCACAGUACGUGCGCGCUUACACACAGAACUUUCCCAGGACAGUGUUGCUGUAACCAGAAUCAUCUCUGAGAAAGUACCUUGUAAGUGUCAUGAAUUUGAGAGACAGUUUCCUGUAAACCUGAACCUACUGGACAGACAGUCCUUCACCGUGUUACAAGCAGCACAAGUG
rnacentral:lncRNA from 1 species